CGAAAGCAAAACAAUGGCUGAAUAAAUCGCAUAAACGCGUUUUCUCGCCGCGAUCUUCAUUUCCGAUUUGCUCGGGUUGCCGCGCCGGACGCGCGCGAGCCGUUUGCUUGGAGUCUCGGCGUCGGGACCGCGCCUCGCGCUCAGGUUGUUUAUGUGUAGUAAAGGGGAGCUUGAAACCGUCCGCCUUGCCCCAUGUCCUCGCUUGUUUUCCUUCUCGCGCUCGGAUUCUCCAUGUUGUCGAAGCGGACUCGACUCUGGCGCAGAAAUAAAUACACCCCGCGCUGAAACGCACAGCUGGGACGCACAGCAAAGAAAAAAAACAAAACAAGAACAAUGCUUAGCUGAUAAGAGACAAAGUAUCGGGCCCCUCCCAUAUGGAUCAGAAGACAAGGCGGGAAAAAAACGUAAUUACAUAGUUAGAAAUAAAAGGAUUUUUAUUUGUUUAUUGCUUUUAUCAACGUAGAAUAGUUUAAAUUUAUUAUUAUUAUUAUUCUCAUUAUUAUUAUUAUUGGUUUAACGCUGACCAGCUACUGAGUUUGCACAGAGAUGGAUUGGAAAGUUCAGUCAUGGUACAAUUGCAGAGACACUGGCGGACGUGUAGCAGCCGUCGAAAACAGGUGAACAAUUCCUCAAAUUCAAAUUCCUGAAUCUCAGGAUGCCCAGCGUUAUACACCAUGCACCCAAGAUGCUCACCUGAGGACUGAGGUGCCGCUGACAAGAUCGCAGAUCAGUGAGUCUGGUCAUGAACCUGAGUGCAAUGAGACGCUACUGUGGAGUUUGCUCAAGCAGGGCUGAGAUGUCCUCAAGACCUUUGCUCUGGAUCCUGAUCUUUUCUAACCGGUGAACCUCAUCAUACCAGCUGGCAUGGACUUGCAGUGAGCUUUUUUGGGGUCCCAGUGCUGUAUUGAUGUUGGCAUGUGGACGAUGCUGAGAUGCUUCACCUCAUCGCCUUUGUCCGAGAAGCUAAAUUUGCCUGAUGAUGGCGCCAACCAAGAACUGCUUUAAUUUGAUCAAUAGUAAUAAUCUACACUUCAUAUUGUACUGGAAAUUAAAAACAUUAUAUGCUGUAAUUGCUGCUUGAUAUAGAAGCUCAUCUCUAUUAGCAGUAAUUAUCUUUUUUUUCUGUUUUAAUCAGCUCUACUGGGUGUCUAUGAAAAAAAUACAUUUUAUUGUCUAUUGCAGCUAACCAUUGAGUCAGGUCUAAAUCAGUUUAAAAGUCCAAGAUUUUCGUUGUGGUAGUGAAAAAUUUUCAAGAACACAGAAUAUAAAAAAAAACAAUUAUUAAUUUACAGGUAAUACAACCAAUUUGCUAUUAAAGUAUGCUCAGGCAUGUAAAUAAGCUGUUAAUUACUCUGUCUAUUAAAGUAGCUAUUAAAAAAGUGCAAGACUAUUCAUUUCUUCUUGGCUGACAGAAACAGGACCUACUGUGAUCUUCGGCUGUUGUACAUCCACCUGGGGGU